rnacentral:rRNA from 1 species
CAGCAGCCGCGGUAAUACCGGCGGCCCGAGUGGCGGUCACUAUUAUUGGGCUUAAAGCGUCCGUAGCCGGGUUGGGAAGUCCUCCGGGAAAUCUGGCCGCUUAACGGUCAGAAUGCCGGAGGAUACUCCCAGCCUAGGGAGCGGGAGAGGCCGAGGGGAUUCCCGGAGUAGGGGGGAAAUCCUAUAAUCCCGGGAGGGCCACCUGUGGCGAAGGCGCUCGGCUGGAACGCGUCCGACGGUGAGGGACGAAGGCCAGGGGAGCAAACCGGAUUAGAUACCCGGGUAGUCCUGGCUGUAAACGAUGCGGACUUUGUGUCGGACAAGCUAUGAGCUUGUCCGGUGCCGGAGGGAAACCGUUAAGUCCGCCGCCUGGGGAGUACGGCCGCAAGGCUGAAACUUAAAGGAAUUGGCGGG